AGCUUUGCUCAGUAGCGAUAUCGUAACCAACGAGGUACAACCGAGGUGCGAUUAUUGCUAGUUGAAAACUAAAAGUUUAUUUUUGAUUCUACUAAAAUCUUCAAAUGGAUUUAAGUGAAUAUCGACAUAAGUUUUUAU
rnacentral:snRNA from 1 species